rnacentral:rRNA from 1 species
AGAGUUUGAUCCUGGCUCAGAAUCAACGCUGGCGGCGCGCUAACACAUGCAAGUCGAACGAGAAAGUGGAGCAAUCCAUGAGUACAGUGGCGUACGGGUGAGUAACACGUGGGUAAUCUACCUUUUAGUGAGGAAUAACCCUGGGAAACCGGGGCUAAUACCGCAUAAGCCUGAGAAGGGAAAGUCGAAAGACGCUGAAAGAGGAGCCCGCGGCCGAUUAGCUAGUUGGGAGGUAAGAGCCCACCAAGGCAGAGAUCAGCCGGCCUGAGAGGGCACACGGCCACACUGGCACUGAAACACGGGCCAGACUCCUACGGGAGGCAGCAGUGGGGAAUCUUGCACAAUGGGGGAAACCCUGAUGCAGCGACGCCGCGUGAGCGAUGAAGCCCUUCGGGGUGUAAAGCUCUUUCGUCAGGGAAGAUAGUGACGGUACCUGGAGAAGCAGCUGCGGCUAACUACGUGCCAGCAGCCGCGGUAAUACGUAGGCAGCAAGCGUUGUUCGGAGUUACUGGGCGUAAAGGGUGUGUAGGCGCUUUAAGUUUGGUGUGAAAUCUCCCGGCUCAACCGGGAGGGUGCGCCGAAUACUGAGGGACUAGAGUGGGGAGAGGAAAGUGGAAUUCCUGGUGUAGCGGUGAAAUGCGUAGAUAUCAGGAGGAACACCGGUGGUGUAGACGGCUUUCUGGACCGUAACUGACGCUGAGACACGAAAGCGUGGGUAGCAAACAGGAUUAGAUACCCUAGUAGUCC